UACGUAGGGUCCAAGCGUUAUCCGGAAUCACUGGGCUUAAAGCGUGUGUAGGCGGACGCCUAAGUGUCUUGUGAAAUCCCCCGGCUCACCCGGGGAACUGCUGGGCAUACUGGGCGUCUUGGGCCAACUAGGGGCAACUGGAACAAGCGGUGGAGCGGUGAAAUGCGUAGAUAUCGCUUGGAACGCCGAAGGUGAAAACAGGUUGCUGGGGUUGUGCCGACGCUGAGACACGAAAGCCAGGGGAGCAAACGGG
rnacentral:rRNA from 1 species